CGCGUGCAGGAUGAAGGCUUCGGGUUGUAACUGCUUUUGUACGGAACGAAAAGACUCUGGUUAAUACCUGGGGUCCAUGACGGUACCGUAAGAAUAAGCACCGGCUAACUACGUGCCAGCAGCCGCGGUAAUACGUAGGGUGCAAGCGUUAAUCGGAAUUACUGGGCGUAAAGCGUGCGCAGGCGGUUAUGUAAGACAGAGGUGAAAUCCCCGGGCUCAACCUGGGAACUGCCUUUGUGACUGCAUAGCUGGAGUACGGCAGAGGGGGAUGGAAUUCCGCGUGUAGCAGUGAAAUGCGUAGAUAUGCGGAGGAACACCGAUGGCGAAGGCAAUCCCCUGGGCCUGUACUGACGCUCAUGCACGAAAGCGUGGGGACAAACAGGAUUAGAUACCCUGGUAUCCCGCCCUAAACGAUGUCACUGGUUGUUGGGUCUUCCUGACUCA
rnacentral:rRNA from 1 species